AUCUACGGCCAUGCCACCCUUAACAAGCCCUAUCCCAUCUGAUCUCAGAAGCUAAGAAGGAUCGGGUCUGGUUAGUACUUGGAUAGGAGACCACCUAGGAAGACCAGGUGCUGUAGGUG
rfam:Pteropus alecto contig42584, whole genome shotgun sequence.